rnacentral:rRNA from 1 species
UAGGGAAUAUUGGUCAAUGGGCGCAAGCCUGAACCAGCCAUGCCGCGUGCAGGAAGACGGCCCUCUGGGUUGUAAACUGCUUUUGAUAGGGAACAAAUGCCACUUGCGAGUGGAGCUGAGUGUACCUAUAGAAUAAGCACCGGCUAACUCCGUGCCAGCAGCCGCGGUAAUACGGAGGGUGCAAGCGUUGUCCGGAUUUAUUGGGUUUAAAGGGUGCGUAGGCGGCCUAAUAAGUCAGUGGUGAAAGCCUCCAGCUUAACUGGAGAACUGCCAUUGAUACUGUUAGGCUUGAGUAUACUUGAGGUAGGCGGAAUUGACAGUGUAGCGGUGAAAUGCAUAGAUAUUGUCAAGAACACCAAUUGCGAAGGCAGCUUACUAAAUUAUAACUGACGCUGAGGCACGAAAGUGUGGGUAUCAAACA